rnacentral:tRNA from 1 species
CUAAAGAUAGAGAUUAAACCCCUCUUAUUUACC